UUUUAUUCCUUUGAUUUGAAUCUCUUUUGAUUUUGAUUUUUUUUAUAUUUUGCACCCUCCUCUUUCUCUUUUUUUUCUCUUUUUUUUCUUCUCUUUUUUUUUUGAUAAUGCCCCAGUUGGUUGUUCUGCUGAUUCUCGAGAUGCAGCCGAAUGAUCUUCUUUUCUUGCUCAAGAAGUCGGGAAAUCUCGUCAGGAAUUCC
rnacentral:lncRNA from 1 species